rnacentral:rRNA from 4 species
AGAGUUUGAUCAUGGCUCAGAUUGAACGCUGGCGGCAGGCCUAACACAUGCAAGUCGAACGGUAGCACAGAGAGCUUGCUCUCGGGUGACGAGUGGCGGACGGGUGAGUAAUGUCUGGGAAACUGCCUGAUGGAGGGGGAUAACUACUGGAAACGGUAGCUAAUACCGCAUAACGUCGCAAGACCAAAGAGGGGGACCUUCGGGCCUCUUGCCAUCAGAUGUGCCCAGAUGGGAUUAGCUAGUAGGUGGGGUAACGGCUCACCUAGGCGACGAUCCCUAGCUGGUCUGAGAGGAUGACCAGCCACACUGGAACUGAGACACGGUCCAGACUCCUACGGGAGGCAGCAGUGGGGAAUAUUGCACAAUGGGCGCAAGCCUGAUGCAGCCAUGCCGCGUGUAUGAAGAAGGCCUUCGGGUUGUAAAGUACUUUCAGCGGGGAGGAAGGUGUUGUGGUUAAUAACCGCAGCAAUUGACGUUACCCGCAGAAGAAGCACCGGCUAACUCCGUGCCAGCAGCCGCGGUAAUACGGAGGGUGCAAGCGUUAAUCGGAAUUACUGGGCGUAAAGCGCACGCAGGCGGUCUGUCAAGUCGGAUGUGAAAUCCCCGGGCUCAACCUGGGAACUGCAUUCGAAACUGGCAGGCUAGAGUCUUGUAGAGGGGGGUAGAAUUCCAGGUGUAGCGGUGAAAUGCGUAGAGAUCUGGAGGAAUACCGGUGGCGAAGGCGGCCCCCUGGACAAAGACUGACGCUCAGGUGCGAAAGCGUGGGGAGCAAACAGGAUUAGAUACCCUGGUAGUCCACGCCGUAAACGAUGUCGACUUGGAGGUUGUGCCCUUGAGGCGUGGCUUCCGGAGCUAACGCGUUAAGUCGACCGCCUGGGGAGUACGGCCGCAAGGUUAAAACUCAAAUGAAUUGACGGGGGCCCGCACAAGCGGUGGAGCAUGUGGUUUAAUUCGAUGCAACGCGAAGAACCUUACCUACUCUUGACAUCCAGAGAACUUUCCAGAGAUGGAUUGGUGCCUUCGGGAACUCUGAGACAGGUGCUGCAUGGCUGUCGUCAGCUCGUGUUGUGAAAUGUUGGGUUAAGUCCCGCAACGAGCGCAACCCUUAUCCUUUGUUGCCAGCGGUCCGGCCGGGAACUCAAAGGAGACUGCCAGUGAUAAACUGGAGGAAGGUGGGGAUGACGUCAAGUCAUCAUGGCCCUUACGAGUAGGGCUACACACGUGCUACAAUGGCGCAUACAAAGAGAAGCGAACUCGCGAGAGCAAGCGGACCUCAUAAAGUGCGUCGUAGUCCGGAUUGGAGUCUGCAACUCGACUCCAUGAAGUCGGAAUCGCUAGUAAUCGUAGAUCAGAAUGCUACGGUGAAUACGUUCCCGGGCCUUGUACACACCGCCCGUCACACCAUGGGAGUGGGUUGCAAAAGAAGUAGGUAGCUUAACCUUCGGGAGGGCGCUUACCACUUUGUGAUUCAUGACUGGGGUGAAGUCGUAACAAGGUAACCGUAGGGGAACCUGCGGUUGGAUCACCU